GAUGAACGCUAGCGGGAGGCCUAACACAUGCAAGCCGAGCGGUAGAGUUCCUUCGGGAACUUGAGAGCGGCGUACGGGUGCGUAACACGUGUGCAACCUACCUUUAUCUGGGGGAUAGCCUUUAAAAAGGAAGAUUAAUACCCCAUAAUAUAUUGAAUGGCAUCAUUUAAAAUUGAAACCUCUGGUGGAUAGAGAUGGGCACGCGCAAGAUUGGAUAUUUGGUGAGGUAACGGCUCACCAAGUCUGUUAUCUUUAGGGGUCCUGAGAGGGAGAUCCCCCACACUGGGACUGAGACACGGACCAGACUCCGACGGGAGGCAGCAGUGAGGAAUAUUGGACAAUGAGUGAGAGCCUGAUCCAGCCAUCCCGCGUGAAGGAUGACGGUCCUAUGGAUUGUAAACUUCUUUUGUACAGGAAUAAACCUAUUUACGUGUAAAUAGCUGAAGGUACUGUACGAAUAAGCACCGGCUAACUCCGUGCCAGCAGCCGCGGUAA
rnacentral:rRNA from 1 species